GCGCUCUUAGCUCAGUUGGUUAGAGCGUCCGCUUCACACGCGGAAGGUCGCAAGUCCGAAUCUUGCAGAGCGCA
rnacentral:tRNA from 1 species